rnacentral:rRNA from 1 species
AGGUCAAGCUACAAAGGGCGCAUGGUGAAUGCCUUGGCACCAGUAGCCGAUGAAGGACGCGAUAAGCUGCGAUAAGCUUUGGGUAGGCGCAAAUAGCCUGUGAUCCAGAGAUUUCCGAAUGGGGAAACCCACAAUACUAACGUAUUGUACUGUAAACUGAAUACAUAGGUUUAUGGAGGUAGACCCGGGGAACUGAAACAUCUAAGUACCCGGAGGAAGAGAAAGAAAAAUCGAUUUUCUAAGUAGCGGCGAGCGAAAGGGAAAGAGCCCAAACCAGGAACUUGUUCCUGGGGUUGCGGAUAGGUCAUAACUAAAAGCAGGAAUUAAUUGAAGAGAGCUGGAAGGCUCCGCCAUAGAAGGUAAUAGCCCUGUAAGUGAAAAUGGAAGCUUUUAAGAUCUACUCCAGAGUACCACGAGACACGUGAAACCUUGUGGGAAGCUGGGAGGACCACCUCCCAAGGCUAAAUACUAACUGGUGACCGAUAGUGAAGCAGUACCGUGAGGGAAAGGUGAAAAGAAC